rnacentral:rRNA from 1 species
UGGGGAAUUUUGGACAAUGGGCGCAAGCCUGAUCCAGCCAUUCCGCGUGCAGGACGAAGGCCUUCGGGUUGUAAACUGCUUUUGUACGGAACGAAAAGCCCUUCUCUAAUACAGAGGGGUCAUGACGGUACCGUAAGAAUAAGCACCGGCUAACUACGUGCCAGCAGCCGCGGUAAUACGUAGGGUGCGAGCGUUAAUCGGAAUUACUGGGCGUAAAGCGUGCGCAGGCGGUUAUAUAAGACAGAUGUGAAAUCCCCGGGCUCAACCUGGGAACUGCCUUUGUGACUGCAUAGCUAGAGUACGGUAGAGGGGGAUGGAAUUCCGCGUGUAGCAGUGAAAUGCGUAGAUAUGCGGAGGAACACCGAUGGCGAAGGCAAUCCCCUGGACCUGUACUGACGCUCAUGCACGAAAGUGUGGGGAGCAAACA